GAGUAGCUCAGCGGUAGAGCAAUCGGCUGUUAACCGAUUGGCCGGGGGUUCGAAUCCCUCCUC
rnacentral:tRNA from 1 species